rnacentral:rRNA from 1 species
UACGUAGGUGGCAAGCGUUGUCCGGAUUUACUGGGUGUAAAGGGCGUGCAGCCGGAGAGGCAAGUCAGAUGUGAAAUCCGCGGGCUCAACUCGCGAACUGCAUUUGAAACUGCUUCCCUUGAGUAUCGGAGAGGUAAUCGGAAUUCCUAGUGUAGCGGUGAAAUGCGUAGAUAUUAGGAAGAACACCAGUGGCGAAGGCGGAUUACUGGACGACAACUGACGGUGAGGCGCGAAAGCGUGGGGAGCAAACAGG